rnacentral:rRNA from 1 species
CCUACGGGAGGCAGCAGUGAGGAAUAUUGGUCAAUGGACGCAAGUCUGAACCAGCCAUGUCGCGUGCAGGAAGACGGCCCUAUGAGUUGUAAACUGCUUUUGUACGGGGGUAAACUCAGUUACGUGUAUCUUUCUGCAAGUACCGUACGAAUAAGGACCGGCUAACUCCGUGCCAGCAGCCGCGGUAAUACGGAGGGUUCGGGCGUUAUCCGGAUUUAUUGGGUUUAAAGGGUGCGCAGGCCGUCGGAUAAGUUAGUGGUGAAAGGCCGAGGCUCAACUUCGGAAUUGCCUCUGUAACUGGUGGGCUAGAGAGUAGUGGAGGUAGGCGGAAUGCGUGGUGUAGCGGUGAAAUGCUUAGAGAUCAUAAAGAACACCGAUUGCGAAGGCAGCUUACCAUGGUGCUUCUGACGUUGAGGCUCGAAGGCGUGGGGAGCAAACAGGAUUAGAUACCCGUGUAGUC